UUCAACCUAUAAAAAUGGAGACCAUGCACCACAAAAACCAUGGGACAAGGACCAAUGCUAAAGAUCACACCAAGAGAGACAUGAGCAGCACCUGCAUCCAGGUAUUUCCAGCUCCUUAGAACCCAACCUUAAGGGAGGCAGCACCACUCACCACUAGUCUGCUGACCCAAGGAGAUUCCUGAUUGUCCUACGCCCCUUCUGCAAAGAAUGUCAGAAGAAGUGAAGGAGGAGACAGGGUAUGAAAAGGAACAUUUCACUGAAAUGGGACUGACAUCAGAUAUAAAAUAGAAUUCAUCCUGCUUUUAAAGUGAAGUGCAAGUUUUGGUCAGAUGGAGAGAGACAUGUUGAUAAGGACACUUGACCUAGAGGAAUGGACCUGGUGACUGAAUUAAGAUCUCAUUUAGAUAAAUCACAAUUUCAAAAUAGAACCUUCUACAUCUCUUUUUAUCAUUGACUGGCUGUGUGACCCUGA